rnacentral:rRNA from 1 species
GAUGAACGCUGGCGGCGUGCCUAAUACAUGCAAGUCGAGCGAACGGACGAGGAGCUUGCUCCUCUGAUGUUAGCGGCGGACGGGUGAGUAACACGUGGGUAACCUACCUAUAAGAGUGGGAUAACUUCGGGAAACCGGAGCUAAUACCGGAUAAUAUUUUGAACCGCAUGGUUCAAAAGUGAAAGACGGUCUUGCUGUCACUUAUAGAUGGAUCCGCGCUGCAUUAGCUAGUUGGUAAGGUAACGGCUUACCAAGGCAACGAUGCAUAGCCGACCUGAGAGGGUGAUCGGCCACACUGGAACUGAGACACGGUCCAGACUCCUACGGGAGGCAGCAGUAGGGAAUCUUCCGCAAUGGGCGAAAGCCUGACGGAGCAACGCCGCGUGAGUGAUGAAGGUCUUCGGAUCGUAAAACUCUGUUAUUAGAGAAGAACAUGUGUGUAAGUAACUGUGCACAUCUUGACGGUACCUAAUCAGAAAGCCACGGCUAACUACGUG